rnacentral:lncRNA from 1 species
UUUAAUUUUAUUUUUCUUUAUUUUAUUUUACUUUAUUUUUCUUUAUUUUAUUUUUUAAAUUUCAUUUAUUUUAUUUUAUUUUCUCUUAUUUUAUUUUACUUUAUUUUUCUUUAUUUUAUUUUUUUAAUUUCAUUUAAUUUAAUUUUUUUUCAUUUCAUUUCACUUCAUUUAUUUCAUUUAUUCCAUUUCACUUCACCCUUUUCCCCCAACACCUUUUCAGUGUCCUCCCCUUUAUUUCCCCCUCUCCUUUUUCCCUUUUUCCUCCCAAAUCCCUCAGCUUUGGGGAGGGUUCCUGGAAUUCUUCUCCCAUUUUUUUGGGGUGUUUCUGACCUGGGUUCAAGGAAUUAUUUCUGAUUUUUUUGGGGUGUUUCUCACCCGGGUUCCUGGAAUUGUUUCCCAUUUUUUGGGGUGUUUCUGACCCGAGUUCUUGGAAUUAUUUCUGUUUUCUUUGGGGUGUAUCUGACCCGGGUUCCUGGAAUUAUUUCUGGUUUUUUUGGGGUGUUUCUGACCCGGGUUCAAGGAGUUAUUUCCUUUUAUUUUGGGGUGUUUCUGACCUGGGUUCAAGGAAUUAUUUCUGUUUAUUUGGGGUGUUUCUGACCUGGGUUCAAGGAAUUAUUUCUGUUUAUUUUGGGGUGUUUCUGACCCGGGUUCCUGGAAUUAUUUCUGUUUAUUUUGGGGUGUAUCUGACCUGGGUUCCUGGAAUUAUUUCUGUUUAUUUUGGGGUGUUUCUGACCCGGGUUCCUGGAAUUGUUUCCCAUUUUUGGGGUGUUUCUGACCCGUGUCCCCCCAGGAGUCGGGGCUCAAGGUUCACCAGCCGGCCUCGUUCGCCGUCAGCCUCAACGGCGCCCGCGGAGCGCUGGACGCCAAAGUUCACAGUCCCUCGGGGGCCCUGGAGGAAUGUCACAUCUCCGAGGUCACCCCAGAUAAAUACGCCGUGCGCUUCAUCCCGCGGGAGAACGGCGUCUACUCCAUCGACGUGAAGUUCGAGGGCUCCCACAUCCCCGGGAGCCCCUUCAAGGUCCGGGUGGGAGAGCCAGGACAGGCCGGGGAUCCGGGCCUGGUCUCGGCCUAUGGGCCCGGCCUGGAGGGCGGCACCACAGGUAUGGAAUUCUGAGGGGAAAAACCGGGAAUUUGAGGGAAAAACAGGAAUUUUGGGGAUGAGAAAGUGUGGGGGCGUGCCACAGGUACGGAAUUUGGGGGAAAAAAUGGGAAUUUGGGAGGGAAAAAAUAGGAAUUUGAGGAUCUGGGCCUGGUCUCGGCCUACAGGCCCAGCAUGGUGGGUGGUGCCACAGGUACGGAAUUCUGAGGGAAAACUCAGGAAUUUUGGGGGGGUGGGUGGUGCCACAGGUACGGAAUUCUGAGGGAAAACUCAGGAAUUUUGGGGGGAAAAUUGGGAAUUUGGGAGGUUAGGAGGCUGGAAGAAACUACAGGUACCAGGAAUGUAGGGAAAAAUUGGAAUUAGGGGGAAAAAACAGGAAUUUUGGAAAGAUGUGGGAUAGGCCGAGGAUCCGGGCCUGGUCUCAGCCUACAGGCCUGGCCUGGAGGGCGGUACCACAGAUACGGAAUUCUGAGGGAAAAAACUGGGAAUUUUUGGGGAAAACGGAAAAUUUCUGAGUUCUCGGUGCUGUCUGAAUCCCUUUCCCAGUGGGAUUUGGGUGUCAAACGCUCUUUUCCGUGGGAUUUGUCCCUCAGGCUCGGCGGCCGAGUUCGUGGUGAACACGUCCAAGGCGGGCCCGGGCGCUCUGGCCGUGACCAUCGAGGGCCCGUCCAAGGUGACCAUGGAGUGCCAGGAGUGUCCCGAGGGCUUCAGGGUCAGCUACACGCCCAUGGCCCCCGGCAGUUACCUCAUCCACAUCAAAUUCGGGGGGCCCCAUCACAUCGUGGGGAGCCCCUUCAAGGCCAAGGUCACCGGUGAGCGCCGGGGCUGGCGGGAAAGGGAUUUGGGGGGAUUUAAAGGGGUUUGGGGGGGUUUA